rnacentral:rRNA from 1 species
CGCCAGGGGAUUACGAGCAAUGCUUAAAACCCAAAGGAUUUGACGGUGUCCCACCCCGCUAGAGGAGCCUGUUCUAUAAUCGAUGAUCCCCGCUUCACCUAACCAUCCCUCGCCUAUCAGUCUGUAUACCUCCGUCGAAAGCUUACCAUGUGAACGCCCGCAGUAGGCUCAAUGAUUUACCAUCAACACGUCAGGUCAAGGUGCAGCUCAAGGAAUGGAAAGUAAUGGGCUACAAUUUCUAACUUAGAACAAACGAAAGACUAUGUGAAACCCUAGUCAUGAAGGUGGAUUUAGUAGUAAAAAGAAAGUAGAGUGUUCUUUUUAACCCGGCC